ACCUGCUCAGAGGACGCGUGAAAUGAACGCUGGGAACCCGUGGGAGCCAUGAUGCGGGUGCGUACGCGUUCUGAGCGUGAAGUAUAAAUCGGCCCUUAGACGGGCAGCAUAAAAAGCUCUGCUUUAACGGCUAACGAUACGCUAACUUUUUUCAGUAUACAAUACAGGUCCUUUGGUGAUCUUUCCAAAAGAUAGUUCCAGCGAUUUGUUUAACUACGAGCAUUCUCCAAAAACCACUUUCACCCAGAGAAGGUUGCAGUUUCUGGCCCGUUGGUUGCUCAAAAAGAAGAUGAGCCAUAAAUUAGAAGAUGGUGGUGUCUUCUCUUACUUCGCAAAAGCCAGCAUGAAAAGCCAAAGCAGCAGUCUUCAAUUUCCACACAAGAAGAAGGACAUUCUGUGUACCACUGGUAGUGCUUUAUAAUUAUCAGUUGAAAAGUUUUCUGACAGUAAUUUUAUAUAUUAGAACUUCACAAAAAGUCUUCGACCAACAGGUCACACAGCGGGUCUCCAGUGAGGCUGUCACUGACUUGUGUCUUUCUUCAGCCCUGUGAUGUGUCAGUGGCAUUAUGGGGGCAGAGAAUGGUGAUCUUAAAAAUGGGGGUUUUGUGUGCUCUAACUAAUUUAUUAAAUGGCAAUUAUUUCUGCUUCCAGCAAUUCCAGACAAGAUAGGAAAGAGCAAGGUCUUUUCUCCUCCACCCUUUUUUUCCAUUACUGAAGCAUAUGAAAAUGUUGGCUGAAUUAUUUAUGCCAGUACAAUUAAUAGUAUAACAUUUACUUUACUGUUCCUAAAAUUUAGGCAAUGAAUGGCUUCAUAGGCUUGCUUUUGUGGAGUGUAACUUAUAGACUGUUUUUCUUGUUCUUCAAAGAUCAGUUUCAUCUGUGGCAUUAACUGAAUUUGCAUGUCAGCAUAUUUAUGGUUACGUUUAGUUGUAUUAAAUUGUAAUGUAGUGUAUUUAAAUUGUUGCAAUACUGCAUAAUUGAUUUGCAGAAAUGCAUAAUACUUGAUAAUCUGUAUUGCAGUGCCCAGUAGUAUGGAAAGUGUGGUUCUCACAAAGGCACCUGUCAGAAAUCAACCAAUCUAGAAUGGAGUGAUUGUUUUCUUCAGGUCUUCAUUGAUCCAAAACAUCUUGACUGCUUGUGACUGGCUGGAUGCCAACAAAAACCAAGUUGUUGGGACAGUACUCCGGCCAAGAAUUCUGGUAAUGGGCAAGGAUGAAGUUACGUACACAACUGAAAAAUUAGAAAAAAGGGGAGACGAUGAAGAUACUGAAGACGUCAUGUCCACCUUUGUUAUUUACUUUUAACUGCAUGAAGGACAUGAAAUUUUUUCUUGAUGAGAUACGGGGUAAAAAAAAAAAAAAUCCCACCAGUUGCUGCUGUUCUACAAAUUACAUUUUGUGUUUUAUUUUUUUUGUUCAGCCUUCAAAAUUUCAAAGGAACUACAUGUGACAGAAAGCCUACAGUGAUGUCAUUUUGAUCAGUGAUUCACUGUAAAGAAAAGUGGGGAUGGACUGGUUUUCUGACCUGGUUCAAUAGUUCUGUGUAUACUGAAAUGACCAAUGUAAUGGAUGGAGGACACAGAUCGAUGCCCUAACUGGGAUUGUUUGCUUUAUUACUUAAAAAUAAAUUCAUAUUUGAACCUGGA